rnacentral:rRNA from 1 species
AUGGCCGCGGGGCGCCACGGAGGGUACAGUGGUUACGAGGCGUCGAAGGAGCGGGAGUUCGAUCUGGAGGCUUCUAGAAGGGGAAAGGAUUACCAUCACCGCAACCCUAGCCGCCAUCGCGACUCAGAUCGUCGUCGCGAUGGCGGCCGGAGCAGGGACCGGGAGCCGUCAAAUGGGCACACCCGCCACCGGUCGCCACAUCUGCCACCGAAGAGCCGGCCGUCUGGGAGGAGGGAGGAGAGGGAACCUGGCGAGGUUUCGAGCGGAAGUGGCUCGGAAGGGUCUCGUGGGCGGCCGCUCAAGGCAAGGGAACCUGGUGUGAAUGGUGUUGUUGGGGUCAGCAGGGAGGGCGGGGUGCCGUCCCCAAGUAAGAAGAGAAAAUACUCGCUGGUUAUUUUGGAUAGGAAUGCUUCAAAGCCUCGCGUCCAAGAUGUCGGCAACCCGAGCAUGAAAGAGGUAGGCACUGUGGUUGCCAACCCGAGCAGCAUUGAUUUUGAUGCGUCGGUUGAUGUACAAAAUGUUGAAAGAUUACAGGAGCACGACAAUGAUAGGGUUAUUAUGGAGAAGGAUGAGGAGGAUGCUUAUCCAACAAUGAUAAACAUUAGGACUUCACGAUGGGCAGAUGCUGAUGACGAGGAAGAAAUUGUGUCAAAGAAGAAGAAAAGUGUGUCACCAGAACAAGGGUCCGUGAAAAAGGUUACAAGCCCAGAGCUUGGAAAGUUGAUGGUGGAUAAAGACUCAAACUCCUCAGUGUCUUCUGACUCUGGCGUAGUACAGUUUAGUGCAAACAGGGAUCUUGAAGUAGAUAAGGGUGACUACAUGGAUAUCGAGAAGGAUGCUGGGGAUGAUUCUUCUGCUCUUUGUGGGAUGCACACUGAUUCUGAGAGUCAUCGGUGUAGCUCUAGAACCCCAGAGCCCGCAGGGUCGCCGCAUAGGUGCAUUAACAUGCUUCAGGGUUGUAGGGGUGUUGACGAGUUUGAGAGGCUCAACACAAUUAAUGAGGGUACAUACGGUAUUGUAUCUAGGGCAAAGGAUAAGAAAACUGGUGAGAUUGUUGCAUUGAAGAAGGUAAAGAUGGAGAAUGAACGGGAAGGUUUCCCACUGACUUCUCUCAGGGAAAUAAAUAUCCUGCUAUCGUUCCAUCACCCAUCGAUUGUGGAUGUCAAGGAAAUAGUCGUUGGGAGUGGUGACAGCACCUAUAUGGUGAUGGAGUACAUGGAGCACGAUCUCAAGGCUGUCAUGGAGACUAUGAAACAACCAUAUAGUCAAAGUGAGGUCAAAUGUUUGAUGCUUCAGCUGCUAGAAGGUGUGAAGUAUCUUCAUGACAAUUGGGUGAUUCACAGGGAUCUCAAGACGUCUAAUAUUCUCUUGAAUAACCGCGGUGAGUUGAAAAUAUGUGAUUUUGGGCUCUCUCGUCAAUAUGGCAGCCCACUAAAGCCUUACACUCAAUUGGUUGUGACUUUGUGGUACAGGGCUCCAGAACUACUGUUAGGCGCAAAGAAAUAUUCCACUGCUAUUGAUAUGUGGUCGUUGGGUUGUAUUAUGGCAGAACUCCUUUCAAAAAAGCCACUGUUUGAUGGGAAACGUGACAUCGACCAACUUAGUAAGAUAUUUAGAAUGCUUGGUACACCUAACGAGGACAUAUGGCCUGGUUGUUCUAAAUUACCGGGCGCCAAGGCCAAAUUUGCCAAACAACCGUACAAUAGAUUAAGGGAAAAGUUUCCAGCUGUAUCUUUCACUGGUGGGCUGACCCUGUCAGAGGCUGGAUUUGACCUGCUAAACAGAAUGCUGACGUAUGACCCUGAAACGCGCAUAUCAGCAGAGGAUGCGUUGAACCAUGAAUGGUUCUGUGAAGUACCAUUGCCUCAGUCAAGGGAUUCUAUGCCAACAUUUCAUUCCCUUAAUGAACAAGACAGGCGCAUGAUGAAACGUAUGAAGAGCCCUGAUCCUCUGGAGGAGCAACGAAUGAAAGAACUAGGGAGCAUACACGACCGUGGAAUUUUUAGCUGA